UCCUCCCAAGUUACUCACAGUGUUUGCAAA
rnacentral:piRNA from 1 species